rnacentral:rRNA from 1 species
AGUGAACGCUGGCGGUAGGCCUAACACAUGCAAGUCGAACGGCAGCACAGUAAGAGCUUGCUCUUACGGGUGGCGAGUGGCGGACGGGUGAGGAAUACAUCGGAAUCUACUUUUUCGUGGGGGAUAACGUAGGGAAACUUACGCUAAUACCGCAUACGACCUACGGGUGAAAGCAGGGGAUCUUCGGACCUUGCGCGAUUGAAUGAGCCGAUGUCGGAUUAGCUAGUUGGCGGGGUAAAGGCCCACCAAGGCGACGAUCCGUAGCUGGUCUGAGAGGAUGUUCAGCCACACUGGAACUGAGACACGGUCCAGACUCCUACGGGAGGCAGCAGUGGGGAAUAUUGGACAAUGGGCGCAAGCCUGAUCCAGCCAUACCGCGUGGGUGAAGAAGGCCUUCGGGUUGUAAAGCCCUUUUGUUGGGAAAGAAAAGCAGCAGGUUAAUACCCCGCUGUUCUGACGGUACCCAAAGAAUAAGCACCGGGUAACUUCGUG